rnacentral:misc_RNA from 1 species
CUUCCCUUUCACACUUAUAAAAGCGUGGACUUUCAUUCCAUGAACUCAUCAGCUUCCUCUAUAUAAGCACCUUCUCAGUUUCUACUUUCUAGCCAGGGAGCUUCUGUUACACUUCCAUUAAUGGCUUCCAAAACCUUUCUGCUGAGUUCCUUCUUCUUUGCCACUAUUCUAUUGACCUUGAGCUUCAAGCUCUCAACGGCUCAAAUGGUGCCGGCGAUGUUCAUUUUCGGCGACUCACUUGUCGACGUCGGCAACAACAAUCACCUUCCUGUUUCUAUUGCCAAAGCAAACUUUCCUCACAACGGUAUCGAUUUUCCUACCAAGAAAGCCACUGGAAGGUUUAGCAAUGGCAAGAACGCUGCAGAUUUUCUCGCUGAGAAAGUGGGCUUGCCUAGUUCACCCCCAUAUCUAUCCCUGUCGUCGAAGAAUGCCUCUGCCUUCAUGACUGGCGUCAGCUUCGCCUCCGGUGGUGCUGGAAUCUUCAAUGGCACAGAUCAAACUCUGCGACAAUCCAUGCCCUUGACACAGCAAGUAGGUGACUAUGAAUCCGUGUAUGGAGUGUUGGUGCAAAAGCUGGGAUCCUCUCCUGCACAAAAAUUGUUAUCUAAAUCCCUAUUUGCUAUAGUCAUCGGUAGCAAUGACAUCUUUGGUUACUCAAACUCAUCCGAUCGCAACAAGAGCACCCCUCAAGAAUAUGUGGAUUUGAUGAUUCUCACAUUGAAACAACUAGUACAGAGAAUAUACGCUCAUGGUGGACGCAAGUUUUUUAUUUCUGGAGUUGCGCCAAUUGGAUGUACUCCGUCACGAAGGGUCAGGAUCCAAUCAGAAGCUUGCAAUGAAGAAAUUAAUUCAAUGGCUGUUACGUAUAAUGAAAGGCUAAAGUCAAUGUUGCAAAAACUGAAUUCAGAGCUCAAGGGUGUUUCUUACUCCUAUUUUGAUGCCUAUGCCAUGUUGGAAAACAUCAUUCAAAAACCAGCCACAUAUGGGUUUACAGAGGUGAAAGCUGCCUGUUGUGGACUUGGGACCCUAAAAGCCAAGGUGCCGUGUUUACCCAUUGCUAAGUAUUGUUCCAACAGAAAAGAUCAUGUAUUCUGGGAUCUUUUUCAUCCAACAGAGGCGGCUGCUCGGAUACUUGUGGAUACUGUUUUCGAUGGUCCAUCACAGUAUACAUAUCCCAUGAAUGUGAGGCAGCUGAUUGCAGUUUAAUUAAGCUUUAGAAACACACACAUAACAAUAUCACUUGUGGAAGAAGGUGUGAGUUAAUUGCACCAAAAGAAACGACAAAUAGGAUGGAUAUAUAUAUAUAUAUAGGAGGAAGGCAUGCAGUGGUGUUGUAGCCAUUUAGCUAGGUCGAUUUAUUCAAUUAUUCUCUUCCUCUAUCUUGAUUUAUUCAACAAUAUCAGUUAUGGUCGAUUUACGAUAGUGUUCUAACACUGAAACAAAACAAGUGUAGCAAUAAAUUAAGAUGCAUAUGAUAAAAG